AGAAUGAACGCUGGCGGCAUGCCUAACACAUGCAAGUCGAACGAAGGCUUCGGCCUUAGUGGCGCACGGGUGCGUAACGCGUGGGAAUCUACCCUUAGGUUCGGAAUAACAGUUGGAAACGACUGCUAAAUACCGGAUGAUGACGUAAGUCCAAAGAUUUAUCGCCUAGGGAUGAGCCCGCGUAGGAUUAGCUAGUUGGUGUGGUAAAGGCGCACCAAGGCGACGAUCCUUAGCUGGUCUGAGAGGAUGAUCAGCCACACUGGGACUGAGACACGGCCCAGACUCCUACGGGAGGCAGCAGUGGGGAAUAUUGGACAAUGGGCGAAAGCCUGAUCCAGCAAUGCCGCGUGAGUGAUGAAGGCCUUAGGGUUGUAAAGCUCUUUACCCGGGAUGAUAAUGACAGUACCGGAGAAUAAGCUCCGGCUAACUCCGCGCCAGCAGCCGC
rnacentral:rRNA from 1 species